GAAGGGGGCUAGCGUUGCUCGGAAUUACUGGGCGUAAAGGGCGCGUAGGCGGACAGCUUAGUCAGAGGUGAAAGCCCAGGGCUCAACCUUGGAACUGCCUUUGAUACUGGCUGUCUUGAGUUUGGGAGAGGUGUGUGGAACUCCGAGUGUAGAGGUGAAAUUCGUAGAUAUUCGGAAGAACACCAGUGGCGAAGGCGACACACUGGCCCAAUACUGACGCUGAGGCGCGAAAGCGUGGGGAGCAAACAGGAUUAGAUACCCUGGUAGUCCACGCCGUAAACGAUGAGUGCUAGUUGUCGGCAUGCAUGCAUGUCGGUGACGCAGCUAACGCAUUAAGCACUCCGCCUGGGGAGUACGGUCGCAAGAUUA
rnacentral:rRNA from 1 species